rnacentral:rRNA from 1 species
AUACGGAGGGUGCAAGCGUUACUCGGAAUCACUGGGCGUAAAGGACGCGUAGGCGGGUUGUCAAGUCAGAUGUGAAAUCCUACAGCUUAACUGUAGAACUGCAUUUGAAACUGCUAACCUAGAGUAUGGGAGGGGGAGAUGGAAUUAGUGGUGUAGGGGUAAAAUCCGUAGAUAUCACUAGGAAUACCGAAAGCGAAGGCGAUCUCCUGGAACAUAACUGACGCUAAGGCGUGAAAGCGUGGGGAGCAAACAGGAUUAGAAACCCCAGUAGUCC